rnacentral:rRNA from 1 species
CGGGACACGUGGUAUCCUGUCUGAAUAUGGGGGGACCAUCCUCCAAGGCUAAAUACUCCUGACUGACCGAUAGUGAACCAGUACCGUGAGGGAAAGGCGAAAAGAACCCCGGCGAGGGGAGUGAAAAAGAACCUGAAACCGUGUACGUACAAGCAGUGGGAGCACGCUUCGGCGUGUGACUGCGUACCUUUUGUAUAAUGGGUCAGCGACUUAUAUUCUGUAGCAAGGUUAACCGAAUAGGGGAGCCGAAGGGAAACCGAGUCUUAACUGGGCGUUAAGUUGCAGGGUAUAGACCCGAAACCCGGUGAUCUAGCCAUGGGCAGGUUGAAGGUUGGGUAACACUAACUGGAGGACCGAACCGACUAAUGUUGAAAAAUUAGCGGAUGACUUGUGGCUGGGGGUGAAAGGCCAAUCAAACCGGGAGAUAGCUGGUUCUCCCCGAAAGCUAUUUAGGUAGCGCCUCGUGAAUUCAUCUCCGGGGGUAGAGCACUGUUUCGGCAAGGGGGUCAUCCCGACUUACCAACCCGAUGCAAACUGCGAAUACCGGAGAAUGUUAUCACGGGAGACACACGGCGGGUGCUAACGUCCGUCGUGAAGAGGGAAACAACCCAGACCGCCAGCUAAGGUCCCAAAGUCAUGGUUAAGUGGGAAACGAUGUGGGAAGGCCCAGACAGCCAGGAUGUUGGCUUAGAAGCAGCCAUCAUUUAAAGAAAGCGUAAUAGCUCACUGGUCGAGUCGGCCUGCGCGGAAGAUGUAACGGGGCUAAACCAUGCACCGAAGCUGCGGCAGCGACACUAUGUGUUGUUGGGUAGGGGAGCGUUCUGUAAGCCUGCGAAGGUGUACUGUGAGGUAUGCUGGAGGUAUCAGAAGUGCGAAUGCUGACAUAAGUAACGAUAAAGCGGGUGAAAAGCCCGCUCGCCGGAAGACCAAGGGUUCCUGUCCAACGUUAAUCGGGGCAGGGUGAGUCGACCCCUAAGGCGAGGCCGAAAGGCGUAGUCGAUGGGAAACAGGUUAAUAUUCCUGUACUUGGUGUUACUGCGAAGGGGGGACGGAGAAGGCUAUGUUGGCCGGGCGACGGUUGUCCCGGUUUAAGCGUGUAGGCUGGUUUUCCAGGCAAAUCCGGAAAAUCAAGGCUGAGGCGUGAUGACGAGGCACUACGGUGCUGAAGCAACAAAUGCCCUGCUUCCAGGAAAAGCCUCUAAGCAUCAGGUAACAUCAAAUCGUACCCCAAACCGACACAGGUGGUCAGGUAGAGAAUACCAAGGCGCUUGAGAGAACUCGGGUGAAGGAACUAGGCAAAAUGGUGCCGUAACUUCGGGAGAAGGCACGCUGAUAUGUAGGUGAAGCGACUUGCUCGUGGAGCUGAAAUCAGUCGAAGAUACCAGCUGGCUGCAACUGUUUAUUAAAAACACAGCACUGUGCAAACACGAAAGUGGACGUAUACGGUGUGACGCCUGCCCGGUGC